rnacentral:misc_RNA from 1 species
GAUGAAGAACGUAGUGAAAUGCGAUACUUGGUGUGAAUUGCAGAAUCCCGUGAACCAUCGAGUCUUUGAACGCAAGUUGCGCCCGAAGCCAUUAGGCCGAGGGCACGCCUGCCUGGGCGUCACACGUCGUUGCCCCCCCAUCUACUCCUUCGGGAUUGCGGGGGGCGGAUGAUGGCCUCUCGUGCGCCUCGUCGCGCGGUUGGCCUAAAUGCCAAGUCCUCGGCGACGCACGCCACGACAAUCGGUGGUUGCGAAACCUCGGUUGCCUGUCGUUUGCGGUCGUCGCGCAUCGAGGGCUCGAAAAAAUUGCCGGGCUUCGGCUCGACUUUCAACGCGACCCCAGGUCAGGCGGGGUUACCCGCUGAAUUUAAGCAUAUCAAUAAGCGGAGGA